rnacentral:lncRNA from 1 species
ACCUUUCAAGUUCCCAUCUGACUGGCAGCUGGAGGCCCUGGCGACCACACAGCUGGACAGAUGUUAGGAAUCUGGGCCGCAAUGCAUGAGCUACACUUUUGAAACAGAUUCCCUAGGGCCAUGGUCUGGGAGAGAAGCAGGCAAACCUCUUUUGGGACUCCAUCCUUCUCUCCCCAGUCCUUAGAACAAGCAGCCACUGCAGGGGAAAAGCCUGCCCUCCUUCCAUGCAGGUUAACAGGAAGAAG